ACUCCUACGGGAGGCAGCAGUGGGGAAUAUUGCACAAUGGGGGAAACCCUGAUGCAGCGACGCCGCGUGAGCGAAGAAGUAUUUCGGUAUGUAAAGCUCUAUCAGCAGGGAAGAAGAAAUGACGGUACCUGACUAAGAAGCACCGGCUAAAUACGUGCCAGCAGCCGCGGUAAUACGUAUGGUGCAAGCGUUAUCCGGAUUUACUGGGUGUAAAGGGAGCGCAGGCGGUACGGCAAGUCUGAUGUGAAAGCCCGGGGCUCAACCCCGGUACUGCAUUGGAAACUGUCGGACUAGAGUGUCGGAGGGGUAAGUGGAAUUCCUAGUGUAGCGGUGAAAUGCGUAGAUAUUAGGAGGAACACCAGUGGCGAAGGCGGCUUACUGGACGAUUACUGACGCUGAGGCUCGAAAGCGUGGGGAGCAAACAGGAUUAGAUACCCUGGUAGUCCACGCCGUAA
rnacentral:rRNA from 1 species